UCAAACCAAGUGUAUUCACCCCACUGGAUUCUGCAUCUAUAUACCAUAGCUUGUACAAAACCAAACAAUAAUUUAUCUGUCAAGACAAAGGUAGGGGUGUGACUUCUCAGAAAUGUUCAUCUGUUUCCCAGAACUGCCUGUUGGUCUGUUGUUGAGCGGCUGGUAUCACCCUCCCACCCAUUACCCCCCACGUUGUUCCACCUCCGCUUCUGGGAGGAACCAGGCGGGGCCACAGAGCAGUCCACCAGGCCCCACAAUGCAGCCUCCACACCGCUGCAGUAGCAGCCACAUCUUCCCAUCACAAAGCUUCAGUACUAGGCAGCAAAGAGCACUUUGAUGUGGAUGUUUCAUCUGGAUACACAGAAGGGAUGGAUGGAUCUGACAGAG